GGAGUCUGGGCCGUGUCUCAGUCCCAAUGUGGCCGUUCACCCUCUCAGGCCGGCUAUGGAUCGUCGCUUUGGUGGGCCGUUACCCCGCCAACUGGCUAAUCCAACGCGGAGCCAUCCUGUACCACCGGAGUUUUUCACACUGGGCCAUGCGGCUCCGUGCGCUUAUGCGGUAUUAGCAGUGAUUUCUCACUGUUAUCCCCCAGUACAGGGCAGGUUCUCCACGCGUUACUCACCCGUCCGCCACUAAGCUUAAGCUUCUUUGACCGAAGUCUCCAAAAAAUAAGCUCCGUUCGACUUGCAUGUGUUAGGCACGCCGCCAGCGUUCAUC
rnacentral:rRNA from 1 species